GUGCCAGCCGCCGCGGUAAAACCAGCACCUCAAGUGGUCAGGAGGAUUAUUGGGCCUAAAGCAUCCGUAGCCUGCUCUGUAAGUUUCCGGUUAAAUCCAUUAGCUCAACUAAUGGCCUGCCGGAAAUACUGUAGAGCUAGGAAGUGGGAGAGGUAGACGGUACUCGGUAGGAAGGGGUAAAAUCCUUUGAUCUAUUGAUGACCACCUGUGGCGAAGGCGGUCUACCAGAACACGUUCGACGGUGAGGGAUGAAAGCUGGGGGAGCAAACCGGAUUAGAUACCCGGGUAGUCCCAGCUGUAAACGAUGCAGACUCGGUGAUGCCCUGGCUUGUGGCCAGUGCAGUGCCGCAGGGAAGCCGUUAAGUUUGCCGCCUGGGAAGUACGUACGCAAGUAUGAAACUUAAAGGAAUUGGCGGGGGAGCACCACAAGGGGUGAAGCCUGCGGUUCAAUUGGAGUCAACGCCAGAAAUCUUACCCGGAGAGACAGCAGAAUGAAGGUCAAGCUGAAGACUUUACCAGACAAGCUGAGAGGUGGUGCAUGGCCGUCGCCAGCUCGUGCCGUGAGAUGUCCUGUUAAGUCAGGUAACGAGCGAGAUCCCUGCCUCUAGUUGCCACCAUUACUCUCAGGAGUAGUGGGGCGAAUUAGCGGGACCGCCACAGUUAAUGUGGAGGAAGGAAGGGGCCACGGCAGGUCAGUAUGCCCCGAAACUCUGGGGCCACACGCGGGCUGCAAUGGUAGUGACAAUGAGUUCCGAAACCGAAAGGUGGAGGUAAUCUUCAAACGCUACCACAGUUAUGAUUGAGGGCUGCAACUCGCCCUCAUGAAUAUGGAAUCCCUAGUAACUGCGUGUCAUUAUCGCGCGGUGAAUACGUCCCUGCU
rnacentral:rRNA from 1 species